AGCAAUUAGCACCAGUGUGAUAUUAAUAGAGCUUACUACCGCCAUCAGAAGGUAUAAAUACAUUACCUGUAAAGAAUAUCAAUGGAAUGUUUGGGCAGUAUUGUCUGUUUGUUGGGUUUGUUCAUGCCGCACACCAGCUUCGCCAAGAUCUUGUUGUGAGCUAUACCGGCCGAACAUCGAAAACCUUAAACAUUAAGCAAAGCAUGCAAGAGUAUCGACUAGAUUGAUGGCAGCUUCUCGUUAUGACGUCUGUAAGAUCUGUCCAGCAUAUAACACCCAGCAGACUAAGAUGACUGCUACACAUACAUCAAUUAAUCUUUUUAUAAUUUUUUUACUCGCCAUAAACAUUAUAAAAAAAAAUAAACUUCAAUUCCAUCUUAUCAUUAGAUCACUGAUAACAUCCAAAUGCCGUUGGAAGUCAGCUUGUAUAAAUUUACAAUCAGAAAAUUAUUCAUAAUUUUGCUGUGACAAUUUUUAAUAUUGAUUGUAAUUAAUGACUAGUGCAAUAUAAGGUACGUCCAAUAA